ACGUAGGGUGCGAGCGUUAAUCGGAAUUACUGGGCGUAAAGCGAGCGCAGACGGUUACUUAAGCAGGAUGUGAAAUCCCCGGGCUCAACCUGGGAACUGCGUUCUGAACUGGGUGACUAGAGUGUGUCAGAGGGAGGUAGAAUUCCACGUGUAGCAGUGAAAUGCGUAGAGAUGUGGAGGAAUACCGAUGGCGAAGGCAGCCUCCUGGGAUAACACUGACGUUCAUGCUCGAAAGCGUGGGUAGCAAACAG
rnacentral:rRNA from 1 species